rnacentral:rRNA from 1 species
AGCAGCCGCGGUAAUUCCAGCUCCAAUAGCGUAUAUUAAAGUUGCUGCAGUUAAAAAGCUCGUAGUUGAAUUUCGGGACUAAUAUGUCGGUCGUGCCUCGGUACGUACUGGUUAUUUUUGGUUUUCCUUCCCUUC